AACGAACGCUGGCGGCAUGCCUAACACAUGCAAGUCGAACGAGACCUUCGGGUCUAGUGGCGCACGGGUGCGUAACGCGUGGGAACCUGCCCUUAGGUUCGGAAUAACUCCCCGAAAGGGGUGCUAAUACCGGAUAAUGUCUUCGGACCAAAGAUUUAUCGCCUUUGGAUGGGCCCGCGUUGGAUUCGCUAGUUGGUAGGGUAAAAGCCUACCAAGGCGACGAUGCAUAGCUGGUCUGGGAGGAUGAUCAGCCACACUGGGACUGAGACACGGCCCAGACUCGGACGGGAGGCAGCAGUGGGGUAUAUUGGGCAAUGGGCGAAAGCCUGGUCCAGCAAUGCCGCGUGAGUGAUGAAGGCCUUAGGGUUGUAAAGCUCUUUUACCCGGGGUGAUAAUGACGGUACCGGGAGAAUAAGCUCCGGCUAACUCCGUG
rnacentral:rRNA from 1 species